rnacentral:rRNA from 1 species
GACGAACGCUGGCGGCGUGCUUAACACAUGCAAGUCGAACGGAAAGGCCCUGCUUUUGUGGGGUGCUCGAGUGGCGAACGGGUGAGUAACACGUGAGUAACCUGCCCUUGACUUUGGGAUAACUUCAGGAAACUGGGGCUAAUACCGGAUAGGAGCUCCUGAUGCAUGGUGGGGGUUGGAAAGUUUCGGCGGUUGGGGAUGGACUCGCGGCUUAUCAGCUUGUUGGUGGGGGAGUGGCUUACCAAGGCUUUGACGGGUAGCCGGCCUGAGAGGGUGACCGGCCACAUUGGGACUGAGAUACGGCCCAGACUCCUACGGGAGGCAGCAGUGGGGAAUAUUGCACAAUGGGCGGAAGCCUGGUGCAGCAACGCCGCGUGCGGGAUGACGGCCUUCGGGUUGUAAACCGCUUUCGCCUGUGACGAAGCGUGAGUGACGGUAAUGGUAAAGAAGCACCGGCUAACUACGUG